AUUGAACGCUGGCGGAAUGCUUUACACAUGCAAGUCGAGCGGCAGCGCGGGGCAACCUGGCGGCGAGCGGCGAACGGGUGAGUAAUGCAUCGGAACAUGUCCAUGGAUGGGGGAUAGCCCGGCGAAAGCCGGAUUAAUACCGCAUGAGCCCGAGAGGGGAAAGUGGGGGACCGCAAGGCCUCACGUCGAUGGGUUGGCCGAUGCCCGAUUAGCUAGUUGGUGAGGUAAUGGCUCACCAAGGCGAUGAUCGGUAGCUGGUCUGAGAGGAUGAUCAGCCACACUGGGACUGGGACGCGGACCAGACUCCGACGGGAGGCAGCAGUGGGGAAUUUUGGACAAUGGGGGCAACCCUGAUCCAGCCAUUCCGCGUGAGUGAAGAAGGCCUUCGGGUUGUAAAGCUCUUUUGUCCGGAGCGAAACGGGGCGCGUGAAUAUCGCGCUCUACUGACGGUACCGGAAGAAUAAGCACCGGCUAACUACGUGCCAGCAGCCGCAGUAA
rnacentral:rRNA from 1 species